UUGCAUAUGGUGAUAGUCGAUUAUUUGGAGUCGGCUUUCUGCUUCAGAAAACCACCGGUUUGUGAAUUUUCAUACAUGUUUUUAUAGCAGCGUUUUUGCAAAUAUAACAGAGACCACCUUACAUAAUAUACAAUACAUAAACUACAGUUAGACUUCACAGACGAGCAAUUGCUGCGGAAGGUGUGUGUUGAAGAGCUAGGUGGCCCAACUAUUGUGGUUUUUAGAAACGAAAGCACGUAUGCGCGUAUUUCUACCAUUGUCUCAUGUGGUGCUACGGACAAUUUCAUAGGAGACAUGGAGCGUGUUGUGUAUGAUGGUGCAAAUACCUGUUUAACAUGUGAAGGUCAUUAUGUGCUUAGUACUGCUACCUCUGAAAUCAAUUUGACUUCCGAACUGGCUAUCCACGUCGAUACCUUACCCCGUCUAGAACAAUAUGCUGUACGUAGAUGUAUGCGCAACACCUACACGAGCAA